rnacentral:rRNA from 1 species
UAGUAACGGCGAGUGAAGAGGGAAAAGCUCAAAUUUUGAAUCUGGUGUCUUUGACUCCCGAGUUGUAAUCUAGAGAAGUGUUUUCCGUGUCGGACCGCGUAUAAGUUCCCUGGAACGGGGCGUCAUAGAGGGUGAGAAUCCCGUAUAUGCCGUGGACUACCGAUGCUCUGUGAUGCACUCUCAACGAGUCGAGUUGUUUGGGAAUGCAGCUCAAAAUGGGUGGUAAAUUCCAUCUAAAGCUAAAUAUUGGCGAGAGACCGAUAGCGAACAAGUACCGGGAGGGAAAGAUGAAAAGCACUUUGGAAAGAGAGUGAAACAGUACGUGAAAUUGUUGAAAGGGAAGCGUUUGAAGUCAGUCACGUUUGUUGGGAUUCAGCCUGGCUUCUGCCUGGUGUAUUUCCUAGCCGACGGGUCAGCAUCAGUUUCGACCAAGGGAAAAAGACAUUUGGAAUGUGGCUGUCUUCGGGCAGUGUUAUAGCCUUGUGUUGUAUGCCUUGGUUGGGACUGAGGAAUGCAGCGCGCCUUAUGGCCGGGGGUCGCUCCUCUCGACACGCGCUUAGGA